rnacentral:rRNA from 1 species
CAGCUCUCCGAGUGGUAGGGGUGAUUAUUGGGCUUAAAGCGUCCGUAGCCGGCUUGGCAAGUCUUCCGUUAAAUCCAGCAACCUAAUUGUUGGGCUGCGGGAGAUACUGUUAGGCUAGGGGGCGGGAGAGGCCGACGGUAUUCUCGGGGUAGGGGUGAAAUCUUAUAAUCCCGGGAGGACCACCAGUGGCGAAGGCUGUCGGCUAGCACGCGCCUGACGGUGAGGGACGAAAGCUGGGGGAGCGAACCGGAUUAGAUACCCGAGUAGUCC